CCCGCCACUGUACCCGUCUGUGCCCGUGACUUGUACAUUCCAGUGGUAGCUGACAGAAAUACCAGCUCUAGGAAGCAGAGUGAGCCUCCCUCCAUAGGUCACUCUGUGCCAACAGGCCUGGGACAAGC
ensembl:snoRNA SNORA65 small nucleolar RNA, H/ACA box 65